AUGGCCCCACGUCGAAAAAGGAGCGGGCCGUACCAAGGCUGCAAGGCACCUACUCCACGAACGAAACACACCUCUCUUGCUGUCCUGCGGUCCACUUCUUCAAGUUAUCCCAGGCUCUCAACUCCCAGUAGAAAACUUCACCGGCUGCCUGCCUGCCCACAGAAAUUGCGCCCGGCCGCCCCCCAUUCACCUUCAAAAAAGGAGCCAGGCUUCCCAUCAACGAGGGUGUCGGCCAUCUGAGCAGCUCCCCUGCCCCUCGCAGCGGCUACUCUACAGGUCUAGCGACUCUUUCGCCAUCCAUAGAGGGAGGAGGCGCGGCGGAGAUGGUGGGCGGUGGCGGCGGCGGGCCGCUGCGGCGGGUGGGCAAGUACGAGGUGGGACGCACCAUCGAGGAAGGCACCUUCGCCAAGGUCAAGUUCGCGCAGAACACCGAGACCGGGGAAAGCGUCGCCAUGAAGGUGCUCGACCGCUCCUCCAUCCUCAAGAACAAGAUGGCCGAACAGAUUAAGAGAGAAAUAUCCAUAAUGAAGCUUGUCAGGCAUCCCAAUGUCGUUAGGCUACACGAGGUUUUGGCAAGCCGGAAGAAGAUAUUUAUAAUUCUGGAGUUCAUCACUGGCGGCGAGCUAUUCGAUAAAAUUAUUCGUCAUGGGAGACUCAGUGAAGCAGAUGCACGCAGAUACUUUCAGCAACUUAUUGAUGGUGUUGAUUUUUGUCACAAGAAAGGAGUCUACCAUCGAGACUUAAAGCCUGAAAAUCUCCUCCUUGAUUCCCAAGGCAAUCUUAAAAUUUCAGACUUUGGACUGAGUGCAUGGCCUGCUCAGGGAUCUUUCCUUCUACGUACAACCUGUGGGACUCCGAACUAUGUUGCCCCAGAGGUUCUCAGUCAUAAGGGAUAUAAUGGCGCACUUGCUGAUACAUGGUCAUGUGGAGUAAUUUUAUAUGUAUUGUUAGCAGGUUAUCUUCCAUUUGAUGAAGUGGACCUGACUACCCUUUAUGGAAAGAUUGAGAGUGCAGAAUAUUCAUUCCCAGCCUGGUUUUCAGGUGGUGCGAAAUCACUGAUUCGUAGAAUUCUUGACCCAAAUCCAGAGACACGAAUCAGGAUAGAAGAGAUCAGAAGUGAUGAAUGGUUUCAGAAAAAUUAUGAACCUAUCAAAGAAAUAGAAAAUGAGGAAGUCAAUCUCGAUGAUGUCAAUGCAGCUUUUGAUGAUCCUGAGGACGAUAAUGAGGAUGCUUUUGAAGAUGAAACAGGUCCUCUAACACUUAAUGCAUUCGACCUAAUCAUUCUUUCGCAAGGAUUGAAUCUUGCAGCGCUCUUUGACCGCAGACAGGACUGUGACAAGCUUCAAAAUAGAUUCUUAUCACGCAAUCCAGCAAAGGUUAUCUUGUCAAGCAUGGAGGUUGUUGCGCAAUCAAUGGGAUUUAAGACACACAUUCGCAAUUAUAAGAUGAGGGUGGAAGGUCUAAAUGCCGACAAGACUAGCCAUCUCUCAGUUAUGGUUGAAGUUUUCGAAGUUGCUCCAUCAAUCUUCAUGGUAGAACUACAAAGAGCAGCAGGAGAUACUUCAGAGUAUAACACGAUACAUCCAAAGGGACAAAUUUACAUUGGACAGUAAUGCCUGUAAUUGGGUGAUGCUGAUGCUUGCUGUACAGAUUAACUUCUAAUAAAAUUUUCGUAAAUAACUACUGCAGCAAAUUAGAUGAUAUCAUCUGGAAAUUUCCAACUGAGAAGGGAAAAUCGAGGAUACCCCGGUUAUCAAAGUCUCAUUCAUAAUCUAGUGCUGUGUGUUAUCAAUUACUAUGGACUUAAGUGGAUAUAUUUGCAGAGUGUAUCGCAAUUGGAUUAUGAUAUUCUAAGUGUAGCUCUUCGAGUAGUAUAUGUUUGUAUAUUCAGAGUCCCCAUGUACAAAGAGGCCGUUUUAAUUGAGGUUUCCGUACCUCGAUUCCCUGUGCAAAGUUUUCAUCGAUGUUUUAGACUACACAUCUGUAUAUUUUGUCGAGAGCAUCAGUUUCUUAGACACCACCUAUGUAUCAUGCGUUUGUUGCCAUCUAGUGUCAUUUUGUAAGAUCUAACUUGUGAUAUACUUGGAUUGAGUGGUAUGGUUGAAAAGAGUGAAAGUCC